GACGAACGCUGGCGGCGUGCUUAACACAUGCAAGUCGAACGGAAAGGCCCUGCUUUUGUGGGGUGCUCGAGUGGCGAACGGGUGAGUAACACGUGAGUAACCUGCCCUUGUCUUUGGGAUAACUUCAGGAAACUGGGGCUAAUACCGGAUAGGAGCUCCUGCUGCAUGGUGGGGGUUGGAAAGUUUCGGCGGUUGGGGAUGGACUCGCGGCUUAUCAGCUUGUUGGUGGGGUAGUGGCUUACAAAGGCUUUGACGGGUAGCCGGCCUGAGAGGGUGACCGGCCACAUUGGGACUGAGAUACGGCGCAGACUCCAACGGGAGGCAGCAGUGGGGAAUAUGGCACAAUGGGCGGAAGCCUGAUGCAGCAACGCCGCGUGCGUGAUGACGGCCUUCGGGUGGUAAACCGCUUUCGCCUGUGACGAAGCGUGAGUGACGGUAAUGGGUAAAGAAGCACCGGCUAACUACGUG
rnacentral:rRNA from 1 species